rnacentral:rRNA from 1 species
UACAGAGGGGGCAAGCGUUGUUCGGAAUUACUGGGCGUAAAGGGCGCGUAGGCGGCCUUCUAAGUCGAACGUGAAAUCCCCGGGCCUCCGAACCCGGAACUGCGUCCGAUACUGGAAGGCUUGGAAUCCGGGAGGAGGGAUGGCGGAAAUUCCAGGUGUAGCGGUGAAAUGCGUAGAUAUCUGGAGGAACACCGGUGGCGAAGGCGGCAUCCUGGACCGGCAUUGACGCUGAGGCGCGAAAGCCAGGGGAGCAAACGGG